CAGUCGCCGCGGUAAUACGGAGGGUGCGAGCGUUAAUCGGAAUUACUGGGCGUAAAGCGUACGCAGGCGGUCUGUUAAGUCAGAUGUGAAAUCCCCGGGCUUAACCCGGGAACUGCAUUUGAAACUGGCAGGCUAGAGUCUCGUAGAGGGGGGUAGAAUUCCAGGUGUAGCGGUGAAAUGCGUAGAGAUCUGGAGGAAUACCGGUGGCGAAGGCGGCCCCCUGGACGAAGACUGACGCUCAGGUACGAAAGCGUGGGGAGCAAACAGGAUUAGAUACCCGAGUAGUCCCUGUCUCUUAUAC
rnacentral:rRNA from 1 species